GUAUUCACCGUCACCCCUAGGCGCAUGCCCAGUGUUCACUGAUGAUGCCUCAGGCUGUGAAAGUUUGGUGCUGUGAUAGAUUCACAGCGGUUAUUGUGGUUAAUCAUCACUUGUUAAGCAUUCAAGAAUAACCAGCUCCCAUGCUUUAUGCAACUAAAAUUUCUGAAAGAGUAAUACUGAGCAAAGAUGAAUUUCAUUUUGACUUAUAUCUCACUAGUUUUGACUCCGGUGGUUUCUCACAUUGUGAGGGAGCAAUUGUCUGUAUAUAUCCGGUUUGCAUUUUAUGGCACACUAACAAAAAGAAGACAAGAGUGUCUUUAUUUUAAAAUGUUAAAAACCUUAGAUCGACUGCACUGGCGCUUCCUCAGGGCUGUAGUAGAAAAAUUCCACUUCUCACCAAACUUUAUGUAAUUAGAGUCAGCGCUCUACUCGAACCCGCCAGUGAACAGUGGAUUUCUAUCCUCUGAGUUCCAAAUUACAAAUGUUAUACAUUUCAGCUUUUGAACCCCUCGCAUACCUCAUACGAGAGGAUCCGAACUUAAAGGGCAUUACCAUAGGCGAAAUUACAUAUAAACUUACGAUGUUUGCUGAUGACAUCAUGCUGUCCUUUAUGACCCCUGAAACCUCUUUACCAUAUUUCAGCGACAUCUUAAUGAGACAUAGCGUCUGCUCAUACUACAGAUUAAAAGUCACAAAGACGUAGGCAAUGUACAUUCAUUUGAACACCGCAUCACUGAAUAGGUUGAAAACCGAAUAUGCAUACGGAUGGGGACAUGAGAGUCUCACCUUCCUGGGCAUAGAAUUCCCAACCAACCAGUACAACCUAUUCAAAGGAAACUAUGCCAAAUUAUCCAAAAAUAUAAAACACCAAAUCUUAAGCUGGAAAGGCAAAUAUGUGUCCUGGAUGGGCAGCCUAGCAGCCGUAAAAAUUAUCCUUCUCCCUAAACUUCAAUAUCUGUUCCAUACGUUGCUUAUCAAACUCCUAUCACAACACUUGAAGGGCACACAAAAAAUGCUCAAUAACUAAAUCUGGGUUAAUAAACGACCCAGGGUAGCAGCUUCCACAAUAUAUAGACCUGUCAGGCUAGGUAGACUAAGUGUACCCAAUCUAAC